GGCCUGGAGUUCACUGAGUAAGUGAGGAGAGCUGGCCAGGAAGCCCCUUUUCUAGAGGCAUACCAUCAUGCCUGGCUUUUCCUAUGGGUGCUAAGGAAAUGAUUCAUAAGGCAAGCAAUUUUACCAACUGUGCCAUCUCCCCAGACCCAGCUAUUCAGUAAAUACUUGUGGCAAGGGCUGCUUUGUAGUCAGGGUUCAUUCAUACUUUCCUUUCCAUUCCCUUCAAACUGUCUUGGAUAUUCCCAGACUGAUGCGCUUCUAGUCCAAUUUUUAACCAAACGGUGGGAGAAGAGAGACGAAUAUUGGAGGCAAGAUGAUACUCUGCUGACAGACUGAAGACCUGGCUCUCCAGAAUCCCUUCUAGCCUUCAGCAUCAGAUGGGACUUUGGGAGCUUGUCGCCUCACAGACUGAAUUCUCAGCUCUCCAGGAUGCAGGAGGCCAUGGUUGUACUACCUAGCCCCUAAUAGCAUACUCCCAAGGCCCGUUCCCCAAGCCAGUUACUCUGUGGUAACUGGAUCAUGAAGAUAUUAAGUCCACCCACAGACUCACCCAAGGAUUAACUAAAAGCUGAAUGGACAACCCAGAGACUACUUGGAGGAAGACGAUUGCAGGGCACAUACCCUGAAGGAACCAGCUUGACUUGAUCAUCGUCUCACCUCCUGCCCUCAGAGCAGAAGGAGUCAGGGGAGGAAAAAGGGAAGAAAAGAAGCCCACUGCGCAGCGUCCACAAAGGAUUCUCUCAGACUCCAAGAGUCCAAGGGAUGGAGGUAUACUGGAAGGAGGAGGAGCCAGAGGAGAAACCAUGUGAUGAGGCUGGAGGAAGAAGAGAUUCAACUUAGAGCUCUUCAAGGCUUGAUUACAGAAUCUAUUUAGUAAAUAAACACACCCCUCACAUGUAUAUAUGUUAAUGAAGUUUAAGAAAAAAGGAACUUCUACAGCA